UACGGAGGGAGCAAGCGUUACUCGGAAUUAUUGGGCGUAAAGGGCGCGUAGGCGAUUUGAAAAGUCUUGUGUGAAAGCCCCGAGCUUAACUCGGGAAGUGCACAAGAAACUGUUGAAUUUGAGUUCCGGAGAGGGCAGCAGAAUUCCCGGUGUAGUGGUGAAAUGCGUAGAUAUCGGAAGGAACAUCAGUGGCGAAAGCGACUUCCUGGACCAGUACCGACGUUCAGGCACGAAAGCGUGGGGAGCAAACAGG
rnacentral:rRNA from 1 species